AGAGUUUGAUCCUGGCUCAGAUUGAACGCUGGCGGCAUGCCUUACACAUGCAAGUCGAGCGGCAGCGCGGGGGCAACCCUGGCGGCGAGCGGCGAACGGGUGAGUAAUGCAUCGGAACGUGUCCUCUUGUGGGGGAUAACCAGUCGAAAGACUGGCUAAUACCGCAUGAGAUCGAGAGAUGAAAGCAGGGGACCCGCAAGGGCCUUGCGCGAGAGGAGCGGCCGAUGCCGGAUUAGCUAGUUGGCGGGGUAAAAGCCCACCAAGGCGACGAUCCGUAGCUGGUUUGAGAGAACGACCAGCCACACUGGGACUGAGACACGGCCCAGACUCCUACGGGAGGCAGCAGUGGGGAAUUUUGGACAAUGGGGGCAACCCUGAUCCAGCCAUGCCGCGUGUGUGAAGAAGGCCUUCGGGUUGUAAAGCACUUUCGGCCGGAACGAAAUCGCACGGGUGAAUAUCCCGUGUGGAUGACGGUACCGGAAGAAGAAGCACCGGCUAACUACGUGCCAGCAGCCGCGGUAAUAC
rnacentral:rRNA from 1 species